UCCAAAAGCAGCCUUUAGGGUUGGGAUGGU
rnacentral:piRNA from 1 species